rnacentral:rRNA from 1 species
CAGCCGCCGCGGGAAUACGUAGGUGGCGAGCGUUGUCCGGAAUUAUUGGGCGUAAAGGGAGCGCAGGCGGGCGAGUAAGUCUUUCUUAAAAGUGCGGGGCUCAACCCCGUGAGGGGAGAGAAACUACUCAUCUUGAGUGCAGGAGAGGAGAGCGGAAUUCCUAGUGUAGCGGUGAAAUGCGUAGAUAUUAGGAAGAACACCAGUGGCGAAGGCGGCUUUCUGGACUGUAACUGACGCUGAGGCUCGAAAGCCAGGGGAGCGAACGGGAUUAGAUACCCCCGUAGUCCCUGUCUCUUAUACC